rnacentral:rRNA from 1 species
UACGGGGGGGGUAAGCGUUGUUCGGAAUUACUGGGCGUAAAGGGCUCGUAGGCGGCUUUGCAAGUCGGGUGUGAAAUCCCCAGGCUUAACCUGGGAACUGCAUUCGAGACUGCAUUGCUAGAGUAUGGGAGAGGGAAGUGGAAUUUCCGGUGUAGCGGUGAAAUGCGUAGAUAUCGGAAGGAACAUCAGUGGCGAAAGCGACUUCCUGGACCAAUACUGACGCUCAUGUGCGAAAGCGUGGGGAGCAAACAGG